rnacentral:piRNA from 1 species
AUACAUGUAGACAGCAAAUUAAAC